rnacentral:tRNA from 3 species
UCCUCGGUAGCUCAGUGGCAGAGCAAUCGGCUGUUAACCGAUCGGUCGUAGGUUCGAAUCCUACCCGGGGAG